CCCACCACAAACGUAUUUAUACCUUGCUACAACUUUUCAAACCAAAAGUAGUCUCCAUUUUAUUUAUUUCAGAAAUAUAAAAACGAGUGCCUCUUCCAUAUUUGAUUGAUACAUACAUAAUACAUACAAACAACAUACACAGUUGAUUUUGCGAAGCAAUUACAUAAGCAAAGCAAAAGUACUGUCAGGCGAAAAAAAAGGAAGGAAAUUGUGAGGGCCAAAUGGUAAUUGAAUUAAGUUCAUACGGAAAGAGGAGGAGAAAGACCGAACUCAAGUCCCCACAGCUCAAAUCCUCCCUUCACGAAAUCAUAGUAACCUCCCUUCAAUGCCAAUGUUUUCUUCACCAAUCCUUCUCUCACGAAUGGAUACGUAAGCAGAUUUCCAAGUGAAACGUUCACAGCUUCCUGCAAC
rnacentral:lncRNA from 1 species